rnacentral:rRNA from 1 species
CCCUUAGAUGUUCUGGGCCGCACGCGCGCUACACUGAUGCAUUCAACGAGCCUAGCCUUGACCGAGAGGUCCGGGUAAUCUUUGAAACUGCAUCGUGAUGGGGCUAGAUUAUUGCAAUUAUUAAUCUUCAACGAGGAAUACCUAGUAAGCGUGAUUCAUCAAAUCGCGUUGAUUACGUCCCUGCCCUUUGUACACACCGCCCGUCGCUCCUACCGAUUGAGUGUGUUGGUGAGGAGUUCGGAUUGGCUCUUAGUGGUGGUUCGCCACCACCUAGAGCUGAGAAGUUCUCCAAACCGCCCCACUUAGAGGAAGGAGAAGUCGUAACA